rnacentral:rRNA from 1 species
GGUUGCGAUCAUACCAGCACUAAUGCAACGGAUCCCAUCAGAACUCCGCAGUUAAGCGUGCUUGGGCGAGAGUAGUACUAGGAUGGGUGACCCCCUGGGAAGUCCUCGUGUUGCAACCC